AAAGGAACAAAUGUUAGAAAUUCCCAAAGUCACUUUGGUUACCUUUUGGAUUUAAAAAAAAAAACCAAAAAAAACCCAAAAAAAAACAGAACCCCUAAAUCCAGGAUAGUUCUUUCCAACAUCCUCUUGAAACUUUUGCAGCCUUCUGGGCCAUGUGAAUUUAUAAUUAAUAAAAUCUUGUUGCUGAGAGCUUCCUAUUAAAUCAUUUCACAGUCUUUUCUCCAUUUAAUUUUCUUCAGCUGAAUGUUUACUCAUGAGUCAAUUAGCCACAACUUUGUUUGUUCUAUUAAAUGUCAUCACAUCACCAUGAGCUCACCGCAGCAAGUGUUCAUCAACAAAAGCAUUGUCAUGUCUGGCUGCUACAGGCUGGCCUCAGACUGCCCCCACCCAAGAGGCUGCCUACCCAGUGACUCUGGCCUGGCUGAAGGCAAUCAGUGGGACUGGUGUGGGUGACCUCUAGUCUGAAGACACGUCUAUGCAGACUAUAUGACCAGAAUUGUACACCAUGGAGUUUAUGCAGAUAAGUCUUGUAAUGACUGUUAGCCUGCCAGGCUGUGAAGGGUUAUGAGCGGCAUAAUCCAGCUGGCUGCCUUCUACACUGUUAGCUGAGACGCAGUAGCUCACUGUGUGUGUGCUAUUAUUCCAUUGUGAAGCAAAGUAGCAUGAGUUCAUGUGAGUCACAGUCAACUGAUCCCAUUUCUUCCUGCAGUGUAGUAAAGUAUCCCACUCAGUUACCACAUCUCCAAUGAAGGAUUCCACCUAACAGCUGGAGGACAGUAACCUCUACAGGCCAGUAAAGUCCUUCAAUCGGACAAAACCUUAAUUUUCUUUAAUUAUCACACUGUUUUUAGAAUACAAAACUAGUAGUGGUACUUCAUUACUUGAAACAGUGUAGAAUCUCAGCUUUCCAAAUGGAGUAACUUGGGCAAUAUUCCAGAUGAUAAUGAAGUCAGAGAAGAACGAGAAAUCUUCCAUCUGCUUUGAAAAUUAAUCUUUUCUCUUGUUUUGAUUUCCCUUGCUUACCAUAACUGUGUUCUAAGUAUUUAACUUCAAUUUUCUUAUUAGAUUUUAGGUGAUAUUUAUCUAACUCAUUUUCUUAAUCAGAUUAAUGCAAUUAUUCAUUUAUGUUCCUACAAACCUCUCUCUCAGAUGAUUUUGUAUCAUACUCCUGCCAUCCCCCAUGCUUUUGCUACCUUGUUACCUUUUGCUGAUAAAAGGAAAAAACAGAGUAUAUGGUGAAGAUUCCGGUCAUGCAAUUGAAGAUGUUUUCCUAUGGCAGAAAUGCACAUUUGCAAAGAUUUUAGAAGAGAUGAGUGACUCAGCACAUCGUUGUUCCACUACACACAAUAUAAAGCUUGAUAAUACAUGCAAAGGUUGACUCUUAUUAACAGGUUUUGGUAUAGAAAAAAGAAAACUGAAAAUAAUCACCGUGCCUACCCUUAAAGAAUCUUUU
rnacentral:lncRNA from 1 species